rnacentral:misc_RNA from 1 species
GCUAUCCCAGUGAAGAGGAUCGUAAUGCUAUCUUCAAAGCAUAUGUAGAGGCGCUAAAGGAGGAUCCUGAGCAAUACAGAGCUGAUGCACAAAAAUUAGAAGAAUGGGCUCGUACUCAAAAUGCCAAUACACUAGUUGACUUUUCAUCCAAAGAUGGAGAAAUUGAAAACAUUUUCAAGGAUAUUGCACAGCGAGCUGGAACCAAGGACGGCUUCUGUUACAGUCGAUUAUUUGCGGUUGGUCUCUUUCGCCUACUUGAGUUGGCAAAUGUAACUGAUCCAACCAUCUUAGAAAAGCUUUGUGCCGCACUCAAUGUAAAUAAGAAAAGUGUGGACCGGGACCUUGACGUUUAUCGCAAUUUGCUGUCCAAGCUGGUUCAGGCUAAAGAGCUGUUGAAGGAAUACGUGGAAAGGGAGAAGAAAAAGAGAGGCGAAAGGGAAACUCAGAAGGCCAAUGAGACUGUGACAAAAUGCUUGGGAGACUACCAAUAUGCUGGGAGGUAAGGGAGUCAUCAUUUUGUACUCCUGCCUGGACCUCAUUGACUUGUUCCACUAGCGGAACAUUCCAUGUACAAUAGAGCUCAGUCUCCAAAGAUCAGGCAAGUUAUAUUAGAAGAUCAAAGUUACGUUGAAUGUUUUGUUAUUACAGUAAUUGAGAUAUAUCGCAAUGUUCAUUAUUUCCUGCUUAAACAGAAUAGCUUUAUUGUUGCAACUCUCUCUAAAUUGUUUGUAGAUAA